AAGGAAAAAGGUUAAUAAAACUACUCAGCUGCAAUCUCCUGCUAUCCUUCCGAAGAGGGCAGAAUGGCUAGGUGGAGCCAUGGGCUCAGAGUGUGGAACCUUGAGCUAUAGAGAGUGGAGACUCCAGUCACAGAGGAUUUUUCCCAGCCCUUGAAAAUUAAUGAAGUUUGCUUAGCUGGAUUUUGAAAUUGCUUGGGACAGGUUUGUGCUAAGAAAAUGCCUUCAACAAACAAAGUGGCUCCAGUGGGUUUCCAGUCCCUGGGGAGAGGGGAGAAAGAGAGAAAAGAAUCACUUUCUUAAGGGGAAAAGUACAGCAGCCAUGCCAUUCUGAGGAUUUACUACAGGAUUAAAUAAACUUCUCCACUUGAGGGGGACAUGUUUGUGCUGAAGGAAUAACAUAUUAUUACUUUUUUUGGAGGCAAAAAACACUGAGGAGGUGACAGGACUGCCUCUAGACUGCAAAGCAAGGAGAAAGCAGAUCCAGGAGCGAUUGCCUGGACAUUAUUUGGUCUUUCAAUCAGCAAAUCUGGGUAGGAAAAGAGAACCACUGUGGGAUUUCAAUCAAGAUGAGAAUUCAUACAGGUUAUUAGAUGCUUACAGAAUCAUUACAAGUGCUGAGGGAGCGAAGGUCAGGGAAAAUUUCCACCAGCUUCCAGGGAAUCAGAAAGUUGCAGAAAACUACCAACAAUGAUUUUAGCGGAUGGCAGCAUUAAAGCAGGCACCUGGGAACACUAUCAGCUUGGAGUGCCUCUAAAUUCCACUCUUGACCUGCGGUUUUGGGAGCCACAAAGGCAAAGCAGUUUCAGACCCAAACCUGCUGGGAGUAGAAGUUAGAGAUUUGAAGGGAAGACGUCAUCUGCUUUCUCUUCAGAGCCAAUGAAGAGACAGG
rnacentral:lncRNA from 1 species